rnacentral:rRNA from 1 species
GUAAGCUGCAGGUGCUAUAAUGCAGUCGUGCGGACCUUUUAAAAGCUUGCUUUUAAAAGGUUAGCGGCGGACGGGUGAGUAACACGUGGGCAACCUGCCUGUAAGAUCGGGAUAACGCCGGGAAACCGGGGCUAAUACCGGAUAGUUUUUUCCUCCGCAUGGAGGAAAAAGGAAAGACGGCUUCGGCUGUCACUUACAGAUGGGCCCGCGGCGCAUUAGCUAGUUGGUGGGGUAACGGCUCACCAAGGCAACGAUGCGUAGCCGACCUGAGAGGGUGAUCGGCCACAUUGGGACUGAGACACGGCCCAAACUCCUACGGGAGGCAGCAGUAGGGAAUCUUCCGCAAUGGACGAAAGUCUGACGGAGCAACGCCGCGUGAGUGAAGAAGGCCUUCGGGUCGUAAAACUCUGUUGCCGGGGAAGAACAAGUGCCGUUCGAACAGGGCGGCGCCUUGACGGUACCCGGCCAGAAAGCCACGGCUAACUACGUGCCAGCAGCCGCGGUAAUACGUAGGUGGCAAGCGUUGUCCGGAAUUAUUGGGCGUAAAGCGCGCGCAGGCGGCUUCUUAAGUCUGAUGUGAAAUCUUGCGGCUCAACCGCAAGCGGUCAUUGGAAACUGGGAGGCUUGAGUGCAGAAGAGGAGAGUGGAAUUCCACGUGUAGCGGUGAAAUGCGUAGAGAUGUGGAGGAACACCAGUGGCGAAGGCGGCUCUCUGGUCUGUAACUGACGCUGAGGCGCGAAAGCGUGGGGAGCAAACAGGAUUAGAUACCCUGGUAGUCCACGCCGUAAACGAUGAGUGCUAAGUGUUAGAGGGUUUCCGCCCUUUAGUGCUGCAGCUAACGCAUUAAGCACUCCGCCUGGGGAGUACGGCCGCAAGGCUGAAACUCAAAGGAAUUGACGGGGGCCCGCACAAGCGGUGGAGCA